GGGUGCGAUCAUACCAGCGUUAAUUCACCGGAUCCCAUCAGAACUCCGCAGUUAAGCGCGCAUGGGCUAGAGCAGUACUGGGAUGGGUGACCUCCCGGGAAGUCCUAGCGUUGCACCAU
rnacentral:rRNA from 1 species